rnacentral:rRNA from 1 species
AUACGUAGGGGGCGAGCGUUAUCCGGAUUUAUUGGGCGUAAAGCGUGUGUAGGCGGUUUAUUAAGUGUAGAAUCAAAGCCUGGGGCUCAACCCCAGUUCGUUCUAUAAACUGGUAGACUUGAGUGUAGUAGAGGCAAGUGGAAUUUCUAGUGUAGCGGUUAAAUGCGUAGAUAUUAGAAGGAACACCAGUGGCGAAGGCGACUUGCUGGGCUAUUACUGACGCUGAUGCACGAAAGCGUGGGGAGCAAAUAGGAUUAGAUACCCUAGUAGUCCACGCCGUAAACGAUGAGUACUAAGUGUCGGGAAACCGGUGCUGAAGUUAACACAUUAAGUACUCCGCCUGAGUAGUACGGUCGCAAGGCUGAA